CACGUUGUAACACCGGUUCUCGUACGAUCACCGAAGUUAAGCCCUAUCACGUCUGGUCAGUAAUUAGAUGGGUGACCAGUUGGGAAUACUAAGUGCUGUAAG